GAUGGGUUUUGAUCAUUCUAACACUUCCUAAGUGUACAUGCAACCCUAAUAACCUUGGAUCUAUGUUUGUCUAAUUAUCAUGCAAAGUUGAAUUCCAAGGUUAUAUUCCUAUCUAGCAUACAUGGGGAACAAUUUUAACUUGAAUCAUAGAUAGAAUAACUUACCUUGUUGUUGCUUGUGUUCCUUGAAACCUUGUGAGCCUAGCACCCCAAGUGUGAUGCCUCAAAUGCUUCACACAACACCAAAUGCUCUUGGAAAGACUCUUGAGAUAACACACACUUCUCAAAAUCGGCCAAGCCCUCUUGUUUCCUUAGUAGUGCCGAUUUUGGUGGAGAAUAUGCUUCUUAUAUAGUGUUGACACAUCUAGGGUUACACCAUGUAAACCCUAAUGUGUCAUGACUCUUCAUUUCCAUGACCCAUGGGUUUGUAACUCCCAUGGAGCAUCCAUGGAGCAUCCUAUGGGUAGAACCCAACUUGAUAAUCCAUGGAGCCUCUUAGCCCACUAUACAAGAUAUGGAUGAUUUACAUAAUCAACCCAUAUAUUUAAUUAGUUAUCCUUUGAUCACUUAAUUAAUUCCAAAUUAAUUCUUUGAUCAACUAAUCAAAUAAUAUUAUUAAUAUAUUAGAACUUAUAAUAUAUUAAUAAUCUCCAAGUGUUAUUUCUCUCAUUUAGUCUAUCCAAUUGCAUGGUGCCAUGCAACCCAAAUGGACCAUGCCGGGUCGGGUCAAGUACAAGCCCGAAAUAGUUAUGGACUUAGACACCUUAUCCAACAGUCUCCCACUUGGAUAAGUCUAAUAACUAUAUCUCUAGUACUUCAGGAACCGACCGGCAAUCGUAGCUCUUUCAAGGUCUCUCGGAACUGAGAAGAUGAUGGUACGCCAUUUAAGAUAAGUGAUCAUAUAAUCCUCCGUUCUAGAUAUCAGCCGGACAAAUACAUGGAACAUUGUCUUGCUUAUUGUCCAGCAUUUGUUUCCCGAUUUCCGAUUUGUUUGACAUAGAACUUAAUUGAACACAUCAACUUAGUUCUGACCGGGCCCGGUACAUGGGUCAAAACAAAAUCAUCGAGGGGCCCAGAUAUCAGCUUCUAAUCCAAGAAGGAACAGAUAAACUUCGACUCAUAUGUUUGUUCUACCACUCAUUGAAUUACACACAAAAGUACGUUUUAUAACAUCGAGUUACCAAUGCGGUUUCGUACAGUCAAUGCAUAACCAACUUGUAAGUAACAAAUCAUAUCUCUAGGUUUGAAGACUUAUAUGAUAUUACCGUCUCACGAUCACUCGAGAUAGAAUUCCAUGAAGUGAUUCCAGUGAGCGUGGGUUGAGUCCAAUGCUCAGAACUUAUGAGCACUCAUGAUUGUUGUAGCCUUGUCCAACACCUUAGACCUCUACAACCCAUCAUGACAGUCUUGAUUCAUACCUACUUCCGACAUAUGACCGACUGUGGAGGUUUGAAUAAUAUGUUACACCAAACAAAAUUAUUCUGGAAGUCAAAACAUGCAAAAGAAAUAUAGUAAACGAUUGACAAGAGAUAGCAACACUUUACUCAUAAAUAAAACACCUUUUAUUCAUCAUCAAAUGUCAAUUACACUUUACAAAUUUCUGGGUUAUCUAACUACUAAAACUUAUAUCAUCCUUCAGCCCUAUGCUCCGAGCAUGCUGGAGAUGCUUAACCCUACUCAGUCCCUUCGUGAGGGGAUCUGCUGGGUUCUCAUCCGAUGAUACCCUCUUUGCCACGAGGAGUCCUUCUUCGAUCCGAUGUCUAAUGAAAUGGUAUUUUCUGUCGAUGUGUCUGGAUCUCCCAUGAUCCCUUGGUUCCUUGGCUAAGGCAACAGCACUUUCACUAUCACAGAAAAUUUCCAUUGGCUCUUUAAUAGCUGGUACAACUCCAAGGUCUCCAAUGAAGUUCUUCAGCCAUAUCGCCUCCUUUGCUGCUUCGCUAGCUGCAAUAUACUCUGAUUCACAAGUAGAAUCUGCCACUGUCUCUUGCUUGGAACUCUUCCAAGAAAUUGCUCCUCCGUUUAGGGUAAAGACCCAGCCCGACUGAGAGCGGAAAUUAUCCCUAUCAGUCUGGAAGCUAGCAUCACUAUACCCUACAACUCUCAAGUCAUCACUCCCACCGAGGGUAAGGACCCAGUCCUUAGUCCUCCGUAGGUACUUGAGGAUAUUCUUUACCGCAGUCCAGUGUGCCUUGCCAGGGUUCGCCUGAUACCUGCUAACCAUGCUCAAGGCAAAAGCUACAUCGGGUCGAGUACACGUCAUAGCAUACAUGAUCGAUCCUACAGCCGAAGCGUAAGGUGUUCGACUCAUUUCUGCUAUCUCAGCCUCAGUGCUAGGGCUUUGUGUCUUACUCAAUCUGGUGUUACUCUGGAUGGGUAACUCUCCUUUCUUGGAAUCCUGCAUGCUGAAUCUCUUCAGCACCUUAUCCAAGUAGGUACUCUGACUAAGUCCAAUUAGUCUUUUACUCCGAUCUCUCAAGAUUCUUAUCCCUAGAAUAUAGGCAGCUUCACCAAGGUCCUUCAUAGCGAAACACUUCCCAAGCCAGGACUUUACUUCCUGCAGGGUUGGAAUGUCGUUUCCUAUGAGUAGUAUGUCAUCCACAUACAAUACCAAAAAGCUAACUAUACUCCCACUAGCCUUGACAUACACACAAGAUUCAUCUUCACUCCUAGAAAAGCCAAAUUCCUUGACCUUUUCAUCAAAGCAAAGAUUCCAUCUGCGAGGUGCUUGCUUCAAUCCAUAAAUGGAUUUCUCAAGCUUACACACUCUAUUAGGGUACUCGUUGCUGACAAAACCCUCUGGCUGACUCAUGUAAACAUCUUCAGCCAACUUUCCAUUAAGGAAAGCGGUUUUGACAUCCAUCUGCCAUAUUUCAUAGUCAUGAAAUGCAGCUAUGGCUAACAGAACCCGAAUAGACUUAAUCUUGGCUACCGGAGAAAAGGUCUCAUCAUAAUCCACUCCAGGAAUUUGAGAGAAGCCCUUUGCAACCAGUCUAGCCUUAUAAGUGUGUACUUUACCAUCCAUGUCGGUCUUCUUCUUGAAGACCCAUUUGCACCCUACUGUCUUACGACCUGGUACAUUUUCAACCAAGUUCCAAACUUGAUUGUCAUACAUGGAUUGUAUCUCGCUAUCCAUAGCCUCUUUCCAUUUAGCAGACUCGGGGCCUGCCAUGGCUUCCUCGUAGCUGUUAGGGUCAUCUUGACUUACUAGUGUCUCAUCACUAAUAAGUGUCUCACCUUCUGCAGUAAUAUGGAAUCCAUAGUAAUGCUCAGGUGCACUCCUAACUCUCGUGGAACGUCUCAGAGGUACAGAUUUGUCAAUUGGCUCAACAGGAGUUUCCUCCUCAAGUUGAGGGCUAGAGUUUGAAGUUCCUUCACCGCUUGAUUCUUGAAUUUCUUCAAGAUCAAUUUGCCUCCCACUGUCUCCUUGGCUUAUAAACUCUCUUUCUCGAAAGACUCCUCUUCUUGCUACAAAGACCACAUUGUCACUAGGUCUGUAGAAGAGGUAACCAAAGGAUCGCUGUGGGUAACCGAUGAAAAUACACCUCUCGCUUCGAGGUUCGAGCUUAUCAUGAGUCUCGCGUCUCACGAAAGCCUCGCAACCCCAAAUCUUGAUGUGGUCUAGUUUAGGUACUUUACCAGUCCACAUCUCGUGAGGAGUUUUGGCAACUUUCUUUGUAGGGACUAGAUUAAGAAUAUGGGCGGCAGUCUCUAAGGCAUACCCCCAGAAUGAGAUUGGUAGCGUAGCUCGACUCAUCAUGGAACGAACCAUAUCUAACAAGGUUCGAUUACGCCUCUCAGCCACACCAUUCAACUGUGGUGUCCUGGGAGGUGUCAAUUGUGAGACUAUCCCACAUUCCCUUAGAUAGUCGAGGAACUCUGAACUAAGAUACUCACCACCACGAUCGGAUCGAAGCAUCUUAAUGUUCCUGCCCAAUUGAUUCUCGACUUCCUGUUUAAAUUCCUUAAACCUCUCGAAAGUCUCUGACUUAUGCUUGAUCAAGUAGACAUAUCCAUAUCUACUAUAAUCAUCAGUAAAAGUCAAAUAAUAACGAUUAGCAUCCCUUGUGGCAUGUUUGAAUGGUCCACACACAUCCGUGUGUAUAAGGUCCAACAAACCUUCACCCCUCUCACACGAACCUGUGAAGGGUGACUUUGUCAUUUUUCCAAGUAAGCAUGAUUCGCAACUAUCAUCUGACUUUAGGUCAAACGACUCCAAGACUCCAUCCUUUUGGAGUUGGCCUAUGCGUUUCUUGCUUAUAUGUCCAAGACGACAAUGCCAUAAAGAUGCUUUAUCCAAGUUAUUAUUAGUAGAAUCAAUACACAAAACAUUAUUUCCCAAGUUAUCUACAACAGAUACAGCUUCAUACACACCAUCACAAGGUAAUGCUUUAAAAUAAAAGACAUUAUUAUAGAAAACAUCUAUAGAACCAACUUCAUUAUUAAAUGAAAAGGUAAACCCUUGUUUGUACAAAGCAUGAAAGGAAAUAAUAUUUCUUGCCAUUCCUGGCGAAUAACAACACUUAUUCAAAUCUAAACUAAACCCACUACUUAGCGAUAAAGUAUAAACUCCAAUCUUGGUAACAGGUAUAGCUUUCCUAUUCCCCAUGAUCAAGUUUAUCCUUCCUUGCUCCACAUCCUCACUUCUUCUUAGUCCCUGCAAGUCACAACAAAUGUGAAUACCACACCCGGUAUCAAGGACCCAAGAAUUAGAAUGGGGUGAGUUAUUAGAAAUGAUAGUGUAAAUACCUGCAUGGUUGGGUUUAACUUUCCCAUCCUUCACAUCUUGCUGGUAUUUUGGGCAGUUCCGCUUCCAAUGAGCUUUUUCAUGGCAAUAGAAGCAUUCAGCCUCUUUUGGGUCAGAAGAAGGAGUAAUGAAACCUUUCUUGGUUCCACUUGAAGAAGAGCCAUCAAGGGUCCGAACCUUGGUACCCUUAGAAGAGCUCUUUCUCUUCCUCCCUCGACUUUUCCCGAUUGCCAAAACCGGAGUAGAGUUUUGAGUAGGAGUGAUAGCAACCGACUUCCCCUUAAGACCUGAUUCUGCGGUCUUGAGAAGUCCCUGAAGUUUGCUGAGGGUGACUUCUUCCUUGUUCAUGUGAUAUGUCAUGCGGAAUUGAUCAUAGCACGAUGGUAAGGAAUGCAAAAUAAUAUCUAUUGCAAGAUCCUCCGGGAAGUUCACAUUAAGCUUCAGCAAACGAUCCACAUACCUUUGCAUUUUCUGCAUGUGGCUCGUGACGGAUUCCCCGUCCUUCAUCAUGGUUGUUAUCAUGGAGCAGAUGAUUUCAUACCUCUCUUGUCUUGCACUUUGAUGGUAUCUUUCCAUCAAAUCUUGGUGCAUUUCAUAAGGGUAGAAAUCCUCAUAAGACUUUUGGAGUUCCGCUGUCAUCGUGGCCAUCAUGAUGCAAGCCACUUUCGUAGCAUCCCUUUCAUGUGCCCGAAAUUCAGCGAUCUCCUGAGGAGUUGCAGUGGACUCAUCAAUCUCCUUAAGCUCCUUGUCAAGGACAUAUUCUUUGUCCUCGUAGCGGGUAAUCAUCCUGAUGUUUCUGAUCCACUCAUUGAAGUUGGAUCCAUCAAAGGUGACUUUCCCACACAAGUUCAUAAGGGUAAAGGAGCCAUUAGGAUUAGAGCCAGAAGCAUUGUUGAAAGACAUCUGAAGGAAAGAGGACAAGAUUAGUUUAGAUAUAAGAGAGUCCUUAAUAAAACACCCAAAUGUAAUAUUAAGGCUAGGAUCCAAUCACAAUAUAAUAUAACUUAGAAGAGGUAUGCCGUAAUCUAAGCUAUAUCAUAUUUGAAAGGUAGGUGAAUGACGAUUCACCAAUUUCCACCACGAAAACCGCAAUAUUUUAGUAUUAGGUUUUUGAAUGGUUCUUAGAAAUUCCUAGAUUCUUUGAGAUUCAAUGAACUUUUCAAAGGCAUGUUUCAAUCUCGAGUGUGCCCUCCAAGUUUUGUGACUGGGAUACCGAGGAUCACAAAACGAGGUGUGAAGUAACCAUGCAAAUCACUUGGUACCCUUAAAGUUUAUCACUCAAUCGAUGUGCCGGUUAACCACACACGCUCCAUCGAUACUAUAAUAAACCCUAAGUCACCCUUUACCUACCUUGUUAAGUCCAAGUUAGUGUGCCGGUUAACCACACACGCUCCACCAACGACUUAAUCAAAGUGUAAAGUGUAAUUUCAUGGAAUAGCACCUUAUUCACAUUUUUCCUAAAGUAACUAAGAUUGGGAAUUUAAUAAAACAUUUAGUUACUUUAUAAUAUUCAUCAUACUUUGAAUGAGAAUUAAUAAGUCCUUGUCUUACCCGUUCGGCUAACGACCCUCCACCGAUCAAGCAAGCGGUGGGUGAGAGUGGACACCCAUUAAGUCACCAUUUUAUAGGCAACAACCUUAUACCCACCUUAUAGACCGGCUUCGUGAAUGAGGCGUACUAGCGGUAAGACGACUUUGUUCUUAUACAUAUAUAUAUAAUUAUUAAAUCAUAAUAAUAUAAGUAUAAGGGUUGAAUUUUAACUUUUAAAAUUCUAGGGGUUGGAACUAAAGUUUUAACUUAACUUUACUUGUUCCAAAACUUGAGGGCAAGUUUUGUAAACUUUCAAAACUUUUCAUUUCUUGUAACUUAUGAGUUUAAUAGAGUAAUAAAAUGAGGACUUUUCAUUUUUCCUAACUCUUGUGUUCUUUUAAUGUUUUUUAAUCCAAGAGACUUUUGGUUUUCCAUAACUUGAGGACAAGUUAUGGACUCCAUUAAAACACAUUAUGAUCAUGAAUUAAUCUACCACAUAGGUUACAAAUAAUUCCUAUGAUCAUCUAAACAUCAUAAGAACAAGAAUAUGAAUAUGAACACUUUCAAGAAUCAAAAUCACAUUUAAUCUUUGUAAUUUUGAUAACUAGUUGUUGUAAAUGAGUUAGAAAAGACAUUACACCUUCUAAAAUAAGUUUUCAAGUACCAAAACAUUUUAGGGUAAUGAUUCUAAUCCAUUUCCAGCAACACAAGUCGAAAUUCUGCACUCUGUCGACCCUACUCGCCGAGUGCAUAAACCUACUCGCCGAGUAGGUUGAAGAUACACAUGAACUCGUCGAGUCCUCCCCAUGGACUCGCCGAGUCCAUCAGUCAGACAGCAAGAUUUUCGACUUUCUUCAACUUUUAAGCACAAAUAACAAACAAACAAGCCUAGGCUCUGAUACCACUGAUGGGUUUUGAGCAUUCUAACACUUCCUAAGUGUACAUGCAACCCUAAUAACCUUGGAUCUAUGUUUGUCUAAUUAUCAUGCAAAGUUGAAUUCCAAGGUUAUAUUCCUAUCUAGCAUACAUGGGGAACAAUUUUAACUUGAAUCAUAGAUAGAAUAACUUACCUUGUUGUUGCUUGUGUUCCUUGAAACCUUGUGAGCCUAGCACCCCAAGUGUGAUGCCUCAAAUGCUUCACACAACACCAAAUGCUCUUGGAAAGACUCUUGAGAUAACACACACUUCUCAAAAUCGGCCAAGCCCUCUUGUUUCCUUAGUAGUGCCGAUUUUGGUGGAGAAUAUGCUUCUUAUAUAGUGUUGACACAUCUAGGGUUACACCAUGUAAACCCUAAUGUGUCAUGACUCUUCAUUUCCAUGACCCAUGGGUUUGUAACUCCCAUGGAGCAUCCAUGGAGCAUCCUAUGGGUAGAACCCAACUUGAUAAUCCAUGGAGCCUCUUAGCCCACUAUACAAGAUAUGGAUGAUUUACACAAUCAACCCAUAUAUUUAAUUAGUUAUCCUUUGAUCACUUAAUUAAUUCC
rnacentral:lncRNA from 1 species